rnacentral:tRNA from 1 species
GCCUGGGGGGCUCAGUUGGUUGAGCGUCUGACUUUGGCUCAGGUCAUGAUCUCACAGCUCAUGAGUUCGAGCCCCAUGUCAGGCU